rnacentral:pre_miRNA from 1 species
CAAGUACUCCCUCUGUUCCAAAUUACUCGUCGCAGAAAUGGAUGUAUCUAAAACUAAAAUACAUCUAGAUACAUCCAUACGUGCGACAAGUAAUUCGGAACGGAGGGAGUAAUUC